rnacentral:lncRNA from 1 species
GUAACCAGCCCAGAGUGGCAUUUAUACCAAAUGUCAAGCGUGAGCAGAAGGUGCUUUAUUGAACAGAGUGAAUCGAUCACCUUUAUGAUGUUGAGCUGCCAUCUGACAUGCAGAGGAGGCAUUAACAUAAUGUAAAUGUGGUGGACUCUCACCAGGAGCCGCGCAGGCCUGCACACGGAAGCUGUGGAAGCUCCACGGGGACAGAUCACCGACCUCCAAGCCCAUAAGGGACAAAUUCUGCACCAGAAUGCCAUCCAUCCAAAGACCAAAGCUGCUAAUCACACCUGGGCCAUCCGGUGCUCAGACUGAGUGAAUGAACCUGCUGCUGCGCCCCUGCCAUCCCCUGCUAAAGCUGCAGUUCACAGCAUCAGUCAAAAGGGAGCACUUUUCAUCCACUUAAAACACAGCACCCUCCUUUCCUCUGUUUCACUCUCUCUCGCUCUCUCACAAGCUCCUAGUCACACCGGCACACAAAGUGCUCUUCUUUUCCUGUCCCCUUCUCUAUGUGCUAACCCAUCAUUAAACAUGAAGCACCCUUAACUAAACGGCCAUUUGGAAUAUGAAUUCACCUUUGCCGGGCACUAGUUUUAACCCCACUCACCGUUGGGCUUGCGAGGGGGGGUCCAGGACACAUUGAGGGAAUGUGGGGAGAGUGACAGGAUGUUGGGGGAAGGCACUUCCUCCAGUGAACUCUCCUCAGUGUGGGUGACGCUGGGGUCACUGAGGAUACAAACUUUAAGUGGCAUCAUCAGUCAAACAUAAAACAGAAGCUUUAAAAUGAUUUCAAAAGAAAAGAGCUCUGAAUAUUUCUCUAUUCCUUGCAAGUGUAGUUUUUUUUUUUUUUAAUUUGGUUAAUCAGAUGAUGAAUUAGAAGACUGUAGUAAUCUCAGCUCCAUUUAGCACAUUUAUAAAGGUGAAUUCUGAGAUAUUCCCUUAAAAUCAGCCCUAAAAAAUGUGAAAAGAAUUCAGCGGAUCCAGUGUAGUCUUGCUAACUAUGAAUUAAUACUAAAUGCUACAUAAAUAAACAAGCAAAAUGUAUUUUAAUAUUCUUUAUUUUAAUAUUUAUAUUUAAUAUUUAAUAUAUUAAUACUUUUUUGAAUAAAUACCCAGCAUUUUCUUUUCUUUUCUUUCUUUCUUUUUUUUUUUUUUUUUUUUUUUAAAGCACAGGAAAUAUGAAAAAGGUAGCCUACUUCAAAAUGACUUAUAUACUGUGAAAUAAUUUUAGAUAAUUUAUUAAUUAAACAGACAAACUGAAAAAUUUAGCAGAACCACAUUGAGGUAGAGUAUAAAAAUAAUAAUUAAAACAAAAUAAAAAACUACGGAGCCCCACACGUCAUGCAAGGAAAAAUGAAUACUUCAUAUUUACUAUUUCAUUCCCUCAAUUAGCUAAAUUGUUCUCAAAAUUUUACAAAUUCGUUUUCUCAAUUUAAAUCGAUGGAAUGAAUUAGUAAAUUGUAUGGACAAUUUAUAAAUCGAGGGAACGAAAUAGUAAAUCGUGUGCAUGAUUUAUCCUACCUUUUCCCCUAUAUAAUAAUAAAAAUAAUAUAAUAAUAAAAAACUGGUGGUAUUCUGUAAUAAUUUAAUGAUUAUUAUUUUCUGUGGCAUAUAAAUAGUACAUUAAUCACUUUUUCAAAAUAUUUGUAUAUGAUUUUAAAAAUUAUAUUUAUAUAAAAUUUAAAUAAUAUGAGUUUUCAAAACAAAUAAUAACUUUAAUAAAAUAAUAAUACAUUUUGUUUAUAGGUCUGAAUCAGUGAGUAAUGGAAGUUUAAAGUUUGUGUGCUGAAAUGACAAACACUGGUUUAAAGCCUCAUUCUAAUAAAUUUACUAAAGGACAAAAUUAACUGAAAGCCACAAUGACAUGAUAUUCUUCUUCUCUCCUUUAGAUGAAUUUGUGGUAAAAGAGUGAACAGGAACGCACUGCUAUCUGAAACAGGUAGGUUGAUCCAGGGACGAGGUUCCGCACUGUAUAAUCCUCAAAAAGUUCAGAGCUGUUAUAGAUGAUGGCCGGCUCUUCUCCUAAGGCAGACUGGUGCAGCGUGUAGAACUCCAGCAGUUCGUUCACCUCCACUGGAGCAGCCCACCUGAAGAACACCAGAGACAAAACACUGAGUCUGAUAUCCUGUCACAUGACCCCUUGUACUUCCCCUAUGAGAGCUGCAUGCAGGCCCAGCAGCAACAGCAGUGGCAGGUAAACCAGUGGACCACCCAGAACCUGGACAGAGUCUAAUAAGCCUGAUCAUGAUAACUCUGUCCGAGGAUGUGCGGACAGAAAUAGGAAAGCCUGGUGGGUGAGCGUUUCACUUUCUAGCUUGACUUUCUAAUGGCUAAAUUUAGAACAGAGGACAAUGCUAUCUACUGAGGGAUCUUUCUGAAAGACAGAAUCACACAGGACGACUGAGAGGAGAAAAGAAACUGAAACUUAAAGAGAAAGAGUUCUUCAUCCUUGUGUGUAUUUUGCUGUUUCAGAUGCAUUUUCUGAUUUGGAGAUUAUUAAAGUACAAUUUUGUAAAUAUUCUUCUUUUAGGUGACAGGGCGGACACAUAUACAUUUAUUUGACAUUACUUGGCCUUGACAUUACUAGUAACUCUAGAUAUUUCUAAAAACAUCUUUUCAAUUAGUGGUUUACUUCAUGAAAGCAAGAUGACAUUAUUGACAUUUUAUGACACUCUUAACAAAAUAGUGGUUAAAAAAAGAGACAAUUAAUAAUUUAAUUCAUUUUGAAGAGUUCACUUCUAGACAAAGAUGAUUACAUCUUAUUAUUAUUAUUUUUUCUAUAUAUAUAUAUAUAUUGUUUUUACAUUAAUUUAAAAUGGAAAAAUAUGGAAAGGUUAGUAGGACGGCAACAACCUAUUGUCAGCUUUAAACUUUUAUAUGACACAUUGCCAACUAGAAUCUAAACAAACAUAAAAAAUAAAGACAAUAUACUAGCAUUUUAUUUCUAUGCUUUUCACAUUAAUUCAUAUAUAAAUAGAAAUUAGAAGCACAAGACAAGGACAGAUCCAACAAAAAGAAAAACAACAAGGGCAAAACACGUUC